rnacentral:misc_RNA from 1 species
UUAAGGAAGAAAAUAAAGAAAGCAUCUUUAGUUGUCCAUAAAGCUCAUAAAACUGCAAACAUACCUUGGCGAAGAGCAGUCUCAAGUGUACUAAGGCACGACCCCAUUAAGAAGGAGCUCAAAGCAUUUUAUUUUUACACUAUGUUUCGAAAAGUUUUUGGAGGCGAGGUACACAAAUUCAAGGGAGGUAAAACCAUUGACUAGACAGGUUGAUGCGAUGAAUCAAUGAUCUAAACAAAAAAUUAACGGGGUUCUUUAUUGAAUCAGAAAAGAACUUAGCCUUAAAAAUAUUGAGUUUAAUAUUAAUGGGUAAAACUUCCAAAAAUCUUUUUUUUGCGAAGUUUUGAUACCUUUAAAAAACAACCUUCAUUCGCCAAAUCCAAACACAAUGUUACACCUACCGGAUCCACUAACAAUUGACUCAAGAGAUAUGUGAAAGCAGCAAGGUAGACAGACCCACCGAGUAAACGACGAACCAGCAAGGAAGACUGACCGUCCAAUAGAUGGAAAUCAUCGGGGCCUG